GUGACACAUUUCACAGUGAAAAUGUGUUCAAUUUGGUCGUGUGCACUUUCCUUGCAAAAGGUUGCUAAACGAGAGCAGCAUUCUUUGCGAACACUAAUUAAAGCUUUUCAAAUAGACUGAUUCCCUAAUCGCGUUGGAUAUAGUUUAACUGAAUACCACCUGGCAUGGGACUGCUUUGCAUUAACAAUGUAACAGCAUGAACUGUGAAACUGGACAUUUCUGCAGCUGGGUAUAGUUAUCUGGCCUACCACCUAAGCAUAUAUUUAUGGAUUUAUACGUGGGCGACAUCUUUCACAUUUUUGACAUGGUGCAGCAAUAAAAGUCUGUUUCUUAAGACAAUAUCGCCUAUCUAAAAUAGUGAAAAAGUCUCAAACCACACUAAACAAACUUUGCACUUGUGGAAAGGUGUUGAAAAAGGAUAACAAGUGGACGCAGUGACCAUGUAGACAAGUAAUCCAGAGUAAUUUAUUAUUAAAUCUGGUUUUCUUUCCAACAGCGCCACUACAGCUUGACAUCAAUGCAUUAACAGGGUCCGUGCAGGUCCUUGAAAUCCUUUAAAACCCUUGAAAUUGAAAAGUGCGUUUUCAAGGCCCUUGAAAGUCCUGGAAUUUUUUUCCUUCCUUGAAAGUCCUUGAAUUUCGUGAGCGAUGCACUCUGAUAUCGACAUUGUGACCUCCUUUCUGUGGUUGAUCGGCGUCGAUCUGACAAACUCCCCAUUUCAGAAACAAUACGCCGGCGCGAGCACACAUGGUUCCGUUUUGCAGAACUGCACGAAAAAAAAAAGGCUUCACCGCGUCAAACCACGAACGGAGCGAGAGACCAGUGACGCGCUUCGGUGCUGGCUCGGUUGCCAGUUGCUUUCCUCACCCUAUCGUUCGUUUCACUCCGCGCUCAUGGGGCUGCCUUGUCCCACUUUCACACUUACGCGCGAGGUGAACCUAGUGAAGCUAAAGAGAGCUAUAGUGGAGCAACUUUACCACUGAUGCUCAGUGCCUUUGGGUGGAGGUUUGUUAUAUUAUUUAUGAUAAUAUAAGUGCAAUAACAUUACCGUAUUUUCCGGUCUAUAAUUUGCACCUUUGUAUAAGACGCACCCCCCUCAAAACGGCAGUUUUUCCGAAAAAGAAUGUAUAAAGUUGCACCGGUGUAUAAGACGCACCUGUUCUUUCGGUAAGUGAUUUAAAAAACGUUAGUGAUGUUUCGCUCCGUGAAAGUGGGUCACACGCAAGCGUAUGGGUGCCAUAUAUUUCCACUCCAGGCGCAUUUCUGCCGUCGUGGUUGUCGCGAUGUUCCGUAUAAAGUCCAAGGGCGAUAACAUCCUCCCCACGCGCCGUAUGCUGUAUGCGCGAGUGAAGGCGUGCGACGGUGACCUGAAUCACGCACAAGGGAGAAAAGCGGAAAGGCAGCCCGGGAGGGAGGGGGUGAGGGGCUGCCUGUACUUUCGUAGCAACUGCGUAGUUUCCUCAGCGGCGCGCGCCGUAUCUUAUCUGCAGAUGGGACGACUUCGGGGUAGAGCGACUCGCGGUUGGCCUACCGCCGUUUGCGUUGCUGCUCCAUCGUUUUCGCACGGCGCUCGGGGACUUUAUCACGAGAACCUGGCAGCUCGAUUAUGCGCACAGAACCCGUAGCAAUUAACUCAACCAGCGCGCUUCACAUGGCCGUAACAUCGGAUCUGAUUUUGACGGCGAAAAAAAAAAACGUACAUAGGUCGCACCGUUCUACAAGACGAAAAAUUAAGAAAAAAAACCGUCUUAUACACUGGAAAAUACGGUAUGCUGAAUGUUUUGGAAAUAUUUCAUGAACCAACCCAGCUGAUACUGCAGAAACCCGAGCAGCUGUUGUGAGCGUUUGUUGUGUUAACUUUUAAUAUUGCGGACUUGAGAAAUGAUCAAGACAAGACAUGUUUUACAAUAUUGCAAUAUACAUCUAUUUGUUACAAUAUAAUGGAUGUGUUGCAAGACUACACUGAAUGGUUUGGAAAUAUUUGGUAAACUUGCCCAGUUAAUACUGGAGAAGUCAGAGUAGCAGUCGGGAGCAUUCAUUGUAUUUUGCGAACUUUUUUUUUUGUUAUUGUUGUAAAUUGCAAAGUGAUCAAGGCUAGACAUUAUUACAGUCAUUGGGAUAUACAUUUAUUUCUUUUUAUUUUGGUGCAAUAACCGUAUGCUGAAUGUUUUGAAUAUUUUUGGUGAACUUUACCCAGCCUAUACUGGAGAAAUCUCAGCCGCUGUUGUAGGCGUUCAUUUUGUAUUGUGAUCUUGAGAAGUCAUCAAGGCUAGACAUUUGUAUUAUCAUUGUGGUAUACAUUUAUUUAUGGUAAGUGCAAUAAAACUACUUAUUUUUGGAAAUGUUAGAGUAAAGAAGUUCUACUUUGGAUGCCGCUUUGAGUCCUUGAAAAACCUGUGACAGGUCCUGGAAAGUCCUGGAAUAUCCUUGAAUUUUUGCCUUGGAAACCUGUACGAACCCUGAAAUUUAACCAAAAUUUGCACAAUUCCUGCUCAUAGUAAAAUGUAAGAUAAGGCAUAAUUCCUUGCAUUAUACUAUUUUUAUUUAGGCUUAUCAGUGAAAAAAAGUGCAUUUCGAACCUUUUGUGUGUUUUAAUCCUUGUACAAUCAUAAGGAAAAGUGCUUUGCAAUGUGAACCACUGACAAGUUGUUUGUCAGCUUGCUCCUGGUUGUAGAUUUCAACAUUAGAUGGGGGUGCUUUUCAGUGUUUUACUAUUUUUACAUCACCAAAUUUGGCAGCUGUGAAGCAGCAAAGUAUUGAACAUUGUGGAUGUGUGAUACUAGCACCAUUAUGUAGUUUGUAUACUUGGAAAUGGCUUUUUUAAAAAUGUUUUGCUGCGUGUGUCUGCUGAAGUUUUUUUUAGACUGAUGUUGUGGUAUACAUGUGACAGACUUGCACUUGUUUAAAUUAAGCACUCUGGGUUAGGUCCUUAAUACAUUUUAUACUUUGCAGUGAAAUAUUUCACUUGCUUCAGCCUAAACCAGUGUGCUGCUAAGCUGGUUGUGGUCUGACCUACAACUGCGCCUUUUCUUUGCAGGCACAGUACAGCCUGUCCCGUGCCCAGGCAUCCUUUAAGUCGCUGGUUCAGAUCCACGAGAAAAACGGCUGGUUCACUCCUCCGAAGGAAGACGGAUGAGUGCAUUGGAGCUGCCGGAUGUACAUAAAGAAGUAAUGGCGUCUCCAUGGUCGCUGUUCCUUUCUUUCCCCCCCUUGUCAGUCUCAUUAUUUGGAUGUGUAAAAGAGGGUGAACAGAAGAGCCUGUCCACAACUUCUGGGUCGUAAAGAUAGUGCCCGCUUCGUACAAUCGGGACAGAAGCACACAUUGCGACCAAGACUGCCGCAAGCCCUCCUUUGUUUUAAAUUGUUUUGUGUAGAGUUGAUGAAAGUUCCUGUUUGUUGCACACACACAUACACGAGAGACACACACAGUUGCAUCGCUCCCCUUCCUGUGCCCAUCCCAGGGACUGCUUUGUCACACGCCCCACACUACCCAAUGGACUUCUUCCCCUGCCGAAUGUAAUGUUCUUUAUUCAUUGGUUUUCCUUUGCAGUUUCUUUUUUUUUUUUAGUGUGAUAAUAAAAUGAAAAAGAGAAGGGAGAACCAAA